GAUGAACGCUGGCGGCGUGCCUAAUACAUGCAAGUCGAGCGAAUGGAUUAAGAGCUUGCUCUUAUGAAGUUAGCGGCGGACGGGUGAGUAACGCGUGGGUAACCUGCCCAUGAGACUGGUAUAACUCCGGGAAACCGGGGCAAAUACCGGAUAACAUUUUGCACCGCAUGGGUCGAAAUUGAAGGGCGGUUUCGGCUGUCAAUUAUGGAUAUACACGCGUCGCAUUAGCUAGUUGGUGAGGUAACGGCUCACCAAGGCAACGAUGCGGAGCCGACCUGAGAGGGUGCUCGGCCACACUGGGACUGAGACACGGCCCAGACUCCUACGGGAGGCAGCAGUAGGGAAUCUUCCGCAAUGGACGAAAGUCUGACGGAGCAACGCCGCGUGAGUGAUGAAGGCUUUCGGGUCGUAAAACUCUGUUGUUAGGGAAGAACAAGUGCUAGUUGAAUAAGCUGGCACCUUGACGGUACCUAACCAGAAAGCCACGGCUAACUACGUGCCAGCAGCCGCGGAA
rnacentral:rRNA from 1 species